CCUGCCCGAAACCAAGCUUCUUAUGGAAUCCAGAGGCUUUCUGGAAGGUGUGUUACCACUUCCAAACCAGAAAUAGGAAGUGCACUGACUUCUGGAGAAUCUCUUCUGCUCAUGGGCUUUUAAUCUGGCCAAAAAGCAUGAUGAGGAAUUCACUAUUCCUUAGAUGGUGGCACCAAGACCCAGAGAGGCAAAGCCAUUGCCAGAUUUCCAUUCCAAGUUGGUCAGUGUCCUGGCCGACACGGAUUCCAGAAAAUCUUUGUAGGAACAGAGGGCACACCAAACCGAGCAGCUGAUCCUGAGAAUCCAGGAAAGAGUUUAGCAGUGUCCUUGCUCAGAACUUCUCAGAUGACAUCCUUGCAACUUCUUGUGAAUAACCACAUAAGGUAACAUGGGGGAAAGUUUGCUUCCAGCUGUCUGGGAUGUGUGAAUUUCCUCUCACGUCUCUGUUUUGAAAAAUAUUAAUGAACAUUUGCAUUGGUUAGGGUCUGGCUGUCUGCCCUAUUUGGCUUAACUGAAAUUUUAAAGCGAAUUCUGAGGGGUGGGUUGUUUUUUCCAAUUCCUUAAUUAAACAACUGGAGUGUUCCAUGAGAUUCAUUCAUCUUUGUAUCUAUUUAAAUGACUUUCAUUGAAAGGGCCACUAUGUUGAAGUCACCACUUGUCUUUAAAUAAUAUUUCAACUGUGUACCCAAGCUGUUUAUUUUUAUAGUUCUGUGUAUUUGACCUAAAGCUUUUAACCUUGUGUGUGUGCCCUGAAGUGACUUUAUUGCAAAAGGGUUUGGCUU